rnacentral:rRNA from 1 species
AAUGGCUGCAGUAAUUUGACUGUACAAAGGUAGCAUAAUCAUUAGUUUUUUAAUUAAAAGCUUGAAUGAAGGGUUGGAUGAAGAAAAAUCUGUCUCUUUUUAAUAUUUUUAGAAUUUAAUUUUUAAGUAAAAAAGCUUAAAUUUUUAUAAAAGACGAGAAGACCCUAUAGAGUUUAAUAAUUUAUAUUUAUUAAUUAAUUUAGAUUUAUUAAUUUUAUUUUUUAUAAAUUAUUUUAUUGGGGUAAUAGAAAGAUUUAAUUAAUUCUUUUUUGAAAAAAAAAUCAUUAAUUUAUGUAAUUAUGAUCCAUUAGUUUUGAUAAUAAGAUUAAAUUACCUUAGGGAUAACAGCGUAAUUUUUUUUAAGAGUUCUUAUCGAUAAAAAAGUUUGCGACCUCGAUGUUGGAUUAAAGAUUAAUUUAGGUGUAGAAGUUUAAAUAUUUGGUCUGUUCGACCAUUAAAUCUUUACAUGAUCUGAGUUCA